rnacentral:lncRNA from 1 species
CUUCCUUCCCUGAGCACGGCGGCGGCGGGGACGAGCACCGGCCUGCGCGCGGAGCCGGCACCGGAUGCUGGGCCUCAGUCCUCACAGGGCUCUAGUGGGCGUUCAGCCACACCAGGAGAAGGCGCCCAGGGGAUUAACAGGACCCUUCCCUCUCCUGCUCUUCCCUCGCCCCCCAUGGCUCCCCCUCCCUCCUAUUUAGUAGGUACUUCUCCAGCACCCCACAGCGAUGAUGGAUGCUGGCCCUAAAGCCAGGCACUGCCGCCCUGCACUGUAGCAGAUGCCUAAAUAAAGUGUGGAGCCUGAAGCAGAAGUUUUGGGAGAUGCUUGCCUUCCUUUAGACCACAUUCCUCGCCUUUCUCAAGAUUUCUCCGUGACCCAACAUGAGUGAAGUUUCCUGCAAGAAACGGGACGACUAUUUGGAAUGGCCAGAGUAUUUUAUGGCUGUGGCCUUCUUAUCAGCACAGAGAAGCAAAGAUCCAAAUUCCCAGGUCGGCGCCUGCAUCGUGAAUUCAGAAAACAAGAUUGUCGGGAUUGGGUACAAUGGGAUGCCAAAUGGGUGCAGUG